rnacentral:tRNA from 1 species
GCCUCCGUGGCUUAAUUGGAUAGAGCGUCAGCUUCCGGAGCUGAAGAUUGGCCGUUCGAGUCGGCCCGGAGGUACCA